CGUGGAGCGAUUUGUCUGGUUUAUUCCGAUAACGAGCGAGACUCUAGCCUACUAACUAGUCCGCACACUCGCCUGCUGUGUGCUCCCUCACAAGGGGACGCCAACACGGGACUUCUUAGAGGGAUUUUCGGCGUUUCAGCCGCACGAAACUGAGCAAUAACAGGUCUGUGAUGCCCUUAGAUGUCCGGGGCUGCACGCGCGCUACACUGGCGAAAUCAGCGUGCCUGUCCUCUCGCGAAAGCGACUGGUAAACCGGUGAAAAUUCGCCGUGAUUGGGAUCGGAAAUUGCAAUUAUUUUCCGUGAACGAGGAAUUCCAAGUAAGUGCGAGUCAUCAACUCGCGUUGAAUACGUCCCUGCCCUUUGUAC
rnacentral:rRNA from 1 species